AAACAGAUGCAGAACUGGCGGAUCGUGGAAUAACCACAAGGGACUGUAUCUAGAUAUAAGCCGACCGCCUGGGCAUAACUU
rnacentral:ncRNA from 2 species